CCCAUUUCUGGCCUCCUUCGCAGCGCACGCCACCCACCCCCCACUCCCCACUCCGAAAGUGCUUAGAAACCCCCAUGAAGAACUGUGUGUGAUCAGACUAAGGAUUAAGGGGAAAGGACUUCAGCACAAGGGUGGGGCAAGCACAGAAAUGGCUUUGUAAAAACGCACAAGAUCCCGAAUUCAAAGCAGCAGCAGCGACUAAAAAGUAAAUCAGCCCUUCAAAGGAAAUAAAACUAUCCUCUUUUGGUACCUAUUUUCAGGUAAUGGAAAACGAUCGCGACCGCUUGAUGACUUUCUUCCUGUGCUAGGUCAGCCCAAUCUUCCAAAAAUAAAAAAAAGCGUGACCCAGGCCGACCACAGAGAACGGAAAAAAGAAAGAGCUGCCACUUCCGAAGCGUAGCCCCGGCGUCCGGCAGGGCGACGUUCCCACCCGCACCCGGCUAGCCUCGGUGCCGGGCACCCUGCCCAGUUUUCACUCGCGGGGUCUCGCUGCCCCCGUGAGGCGAGCGACCCGACCCGCGAGUCCCGGGUCCCGCUGGCGCCCCUGCCUCGGGACAGCCUCACCCAGGACCUGCCUUCCCCGGAGCGGAACAGAAUCCCUCGUUUCAGAUGUUACAUGACUUGCAGCAUGUCCUGUCACAACCUCCCUUUUUCGUUCUCUGCUGUGUGAGAGGAAAUGGGAACACUCAUCGGCAAAGGGAAUUUCUUAAGGAACUCUUAUUGCUGGUGCUGCUGUUGUUUGAGACUUCCAGAAGCCCAUUUUCUCCUGUUAUUGGACGGCUCCAACUGCUUUUGACCAUACCACUCAGGAUUAAGGCAUCUGGACUUACCUGUAUGUGACAGACGUCCCUUGGGCCUGGACAACAGAAGCAGUUGCCAUGAGAUUUUGGGCCUUCUGGCUUGAGCUCAGGAUCUAGGAAUAUGGUUAGAAGAGGACAAAAAAUAUUGCCUUGAGAAGUCACUCGCUGUGUCAUUGAUUGGCCCAUGACUCAGCAGAGGUUCUUCUCAGUAGUUGUCUCGAGGAGUCUGCUUUGACUUAUGUGCAAAUGCAGCCCGAAAAUCAAGAGAAAAUUCUCAGAAGUGUUCUACAGACAUACUUUGAAGAUAUUUCAGGUUUGGUUCCAGAUCACCACAGUAAAGCAAAUAUGGAAAUAAAGCAAGUCCAAUGAGGUUUUUGGUUUCCCAGUGCAUAUAAAAAUUAUGUUUAGGGGUGUUUGGGUGGCUCAGUUGGUUAAGUGUCUCACUCUUGAUUUCCGCUGGGGUCAUGAUCCCAGCAUAAUGAGACUGAGCCCCUCAUCCAACUCCAUGCUAAGCAUGAAGCCUGCUUGAGAUUCUCUCUCUCUCCCUCUGCCUGUCUCCCCCACUCAUGCUCUCUCUCUCUCUCUCUUUCUCAAAAUCAUGUUUACACUAUACUGUAGUCUAUUAAGUGUGAAAUAGCAUUAUGUCUAAAAAAGC